rnacentral:pre_miRNA from 1 species
GAGACACCCUUAUGGAGCAGGACUUGCUUAAUUGGGGCUCUGUUGCUCACUGAGUCUGCCCCUUGAGUGUGUCACU